rnacentral:lncRNA from 1 species
CGGCUGAGCAGCCGGGACACUCCGGGUUACCCCUCAGCAGUCCGGGUCAUGUCAUCAUCCCUCGGCUGAGCGCGGCGCGCCCGGUGCUCUGAGGGGACGGGGGAUGCGCGGGGCUCGGCCCUGCCUGAGGGGCAGCGGCCGGGCCGUGUGGGAGCGCAGGGCUCGGGCUGUGGGUACUGCGGGCUUGGGGAGCUCGGAGCUGUUUGGCCAACGUAAAUACACCGGUGUGACCUGGGUUGGGCUCUCCUCACAGGCUGCCCGGAGUCUGUGUCUCUCCUUAAGGCUUUUGAGAUCCCUGCCCCGUUAAAGCACCUGUGCCAUGUGUGAGGAAACAUCGUUCCCUAAGCGGAGAAUCUCAGUCCUGAAGUUAAUUGUCACUGCUUUGUGAGAUUCAGGAGGACCUUCAGAAGCUUAAAAUGGAAAAAAACAACUUGAAAGGAAAUGCAGAAGCUGUGGAUAUAUGUGACCCCAGAAAAGCCACUGAAAGGACUGAACUUGGGCUGAGAGAAUCCUCCUUCUGGUGCCUGUCAGCAGCAGCUGGUUCUGCCCCGCGUGGAGCCCGUGGCUGUGCAGAGGUGCAGCAGAUCAGCCCCACGUGUGUGCCAGGGCCCUCAGGUCUGACAUCACACCCUGAUCCUUCUGCACAGCCCAGGAGUGCUCGGUGUCCUGUGCAUCCCAUCGUGCUGUGACUGCCGUGGAGUCAGGGGUUGAGAGCACCCCGUGAUGAAAGGGUUAAAAUCCUCAGCAGAAGGAGUGGCUGAGAUGGGAACCUUCUCCCAGCCCAGGAUGGCAUUUAACUUGGGAGAGGUCCCAGUGUCAUCCUUGCAGGUGUGGAACUGGCACUUCCCACCCACCCAAGCUGACAAAGUCACUUUUAUCAGAUGGUUUUUUAUUAAUAAUUCCAAUUCUUGUUAUCCUGUGUGGCACCUUUCCCCCCUGCACUGAUCAUUUCCCUGUCAGCCUGAGUGAGGACUUUGCAUUGGGAAUUAUCUCCUGCUUUAAUUGAAAGGUGCUCAAUUCCCCCAGUUCUGCUUUUUAAUAGCAGCAGCAGUUUCCUCCCUGCAUAACGGUGUGUUAUGGUAAUAAAAUAAAUACCACAAAAGCA